UAUUCACCUCCCUUUUCAAAUAUACUAAUAACUUAUCGAAUUUUAUUUACUGUAGCAGUCACUGUAGCAUCAGCUGAACGCAGUUUCUCAAAGUUGAAGUUAUUGGGAAACUAUUUGAGAUCAUCAAUGUCACAGGAAAGAUUGAAUGGUCUGGCUACUUUAUGCAUUGAGAAAGAAAUGUUGAAUGAAAUAAAUACUGAUGUGAUUAUUGAUGACUUUUCUUCCAGAAGUGUUAGGAGAAACAACAAGAUCUGA
rnacentral:rRNA from 1 species